rnacentral:rRNA from 1 species
CAUGAGUGGCGGACGGGUGAGUAACGCGUGGGCAACCUGGCCUGUACAGGGGGAUAACACUUAGAAAUAGGUGCUAAUACCGCAUAACGGGGGAAGCCGCAUGGCUUUUCCCUGAAAACUCCGGUGGUACAGGAUGGGCCCGCGUCUGAUUAGCCAGUUGGCAGGGUAACGGCCUACCAAAGCGACGAUCAGUAGCCGGCCUGAGAGGGCGGACGGCCACACUGGGACUGAGACACGGCCCAAACUCCUACGGAAGGCAGCAG